AGCUGAUGGUCAGAGGCAGCUCCAUCCCGCCCCCCCACACCUGCAGCUGUGGCUGUUAAUCAGCUUUAAUUGCCCAUAGCGCCACACUCCAGGGCCUGCCCUUGCCUUUCCACCGUGCAGCACGCUUUUCAUCUGGGUGGCUUUCAGGAGCACUCCGUUUCAUGCGGGCAGCUAAAGGCGCAAGAAAAAUGUACGCCUCCUGCGGAACGGCCUCGAGGGAAGCGGAGGGGCCUCCCUUGGUGAACGGCGGAGAAAAAAAGGCGGGAGGAGCAGCAGUGAGGGGGCGACGGCAGCUGCACCGAGCGCCGCGGGCCAGCAGGGGGCAGCAGCAGCGCGGCCCAACGGGUUCAGGCCGCCUGCUGGCUGCAACAUGGCGGCGGCGGGAGGGCCGUGCGAGGCCCUGUGGUGGGGUCUGGCUGUUCCCAAGCACCCAUCGCGGCUAGCUAUUGCUGUAUAUUAACAAACGUAAUGAGAAGCCGUUCGUAUUCUUGCCUGCCACCUGGGAGUCCCUCGGGCAGCCGCUCAGAUAUUUGCUCUUAAAACAGACCCCACAGCUGCUCGUUCCCCAAGCCGUGUUCUUCCCUCCGGAGCCAGCUGGAUGCCAGUUGCGUGUGCACAUGUGCCUUGCAAUGAGAAUUUCAUUAGCUGAGAUGAGAUAGACACCUCCCUUUCACCCAGCCCCCCAGGGUAGGUUGCAAAGGAAACCCACAAACUUUUGGUUUUGCUCUUGAUUGGAGCUAAUGAAGAAAACAGUUUGCAAGUUCCAUGACUCAUGCUUAUAUCGUCUCUGGCUACAAGUGGAACUGCAGUGUCAGACAGCCUGACAGGUCAGCGUGUGACCACAAACAGCACUAGCACUGCCAAGACGCAUGGGGUUUGAUCCUCACAGUAGGGAUGGGCACACAGGCUUGCUCAGUGCUAAUAAAGAUGCUUUUGUCUUGUCCAGCUGGAAGCAGGACUAGCUGAACACCCCACGGGAGGGCUGCCUUUCAUGUGAUUUCCAGACUGUGCUUCCUAUAUCGCACAGUCUGAAAUGUUAAAGAUAGGGCCCAGCCCUGUUCUGAGCUUCUGGGGCAUCUGUUGGUUUGCUGCUCUCAGUGCAAGAUCUGGGCAUGGUCACAUGUAAAAGUCAACAGGGAUGUCCUCAAGGAGAUGCCCAACAUCAUGUAUAUGACUCUUCUAAAUGUAGCUGUGGAGCACCACCAUGGAACAAGAAUAAAGUUUUCAUGCUUAAUGGGAGACACAGUGCUUGCACUGUUAAGUGAUAUGCAGAAGCCUAAUACAGUAGCAGUCUCUGUCCAUGUCCUUUCCUUUGUAGCACAUGUGAUAACCUCAGUGCUGUGUCAAACACAUCACUAAGCCUGUGUAUUUUUAGGGAUCUACUCUUCCACCAUGGGAUGUGCAGCAUACUGAGAAGUGCCACAAAACAACCAG
ensembl:lncRNA